rnacentral:rRNA from 1 species
CCUACGGGAGGCAGCAGUGGGGAAUAUUGCACAAUGGGCGCAAGCCUGAUGCAGCGACGCCGCGUGAGGGAUGACGGCCUUCGGGUUGUAAACCUCUUUCAGUAGGGAAGAAGCGAAAGUGACGGUACCUGCAGAAGAAGCGCCGGCUAACUACGUGCCAGCAGCCGCGGUAAUACGUAGGGCGCAAGCGUUAUCCGGAAUUAUUGGGCGUAAAGAGCUCGUAGGCGGUUUGUCGCGUCUGCCGUGAAAGUCCGGGGCUCAACUCCGGAUCUGCGGUGGGUACGGGCAGACUAGAGUGAUGUAGGGGAGACUGGAAUUCCUGGUGUAGCGGUGAAAUGCGCAGAUAUCAGGAGGAACACCGAUGGCGAAGGCAGGUCUCUGGGCAUUAACUGACGCUGAGGAGCGAAAGCAUGGGGAGCGAACAGGAUUAGAUACCCUGGUAGUCCAUGCCGUAAACGUUGGGCACUAGGUGUGGGGGACGAUUCCACGUUUUCCGCGCCGUAGCUAACGCAUUAAGUGCCCCGCCUGGGGAGUACGGCCGCAAGGCUAAAAACUCAAAAGAAGUAGUACGGCGUCGAGACGUGCCGAACGGACGACGACCAAGGGAAGGUUAAGGGAG